rnacentral:rRNA from 1 species
CUCAUUGUAAGAUACUUUCGAAGAGUCGAGUUGUUUGGGAAUGCAGCUCUAAGUGGGAGGUAAAUUCCUUCUAAAGCUAAAUAUUGACGAGAGACCGAUAGCGAACAAGUACUGUGAAGGAAAGAUGAAAAGCACUUUGAAAAGAGAGUGAAAAAGUACGUGAAAUUGUUAAAAGGGAAGGGUAUUGAAUCAGACUUGGUGCUGUUGUUCAACUGUGUUUNGGCACNGUGUACUCAGCAGUACUAGGCCAAGGUGGGGUGUUUGGGAGUGAAAAAGAAGUUGGAACGUAACUCUUUCGGAGUGUUAUAGCCUACUUUCAUAGCUCCUCAGGCGCCUCAGGACUGCGCUUCGGCAAGGACCUUGGCAUAAUGAUUCUAUACCGCC